GACGAACGCUGGCGGCGUGCUUAACACAUGCAAGUCGAACGGAAAGGCCCUGCUUUUGUGGGGUGCUCGAGUGGCGCACGGGUGUGUAACACGCGAGUAACCUGCCCUUGUCUUUGGGAUAACUUUAGGAAACUGGGGCUAAUACCGGAUAGGAGAUCCUGCUGCAUGGUGGGGGUUGGUAAGAUGCGGCGGUUGGGGAUGGACUCGCGGCUUAUCAGCUUGUUGGUGGGGUAGUGGCUUACCAAGGCUUUGACGGGUAGCCGGCCUGAGAGGGUGACCGGCGUCAUUGGGACUGAGGUACGGACCAGACUCCUACGGGAGGCAGCAGUGGAGAAUAUUGCACAAUGGGCGGAAGCCUGAUACGGCGACGCCGCGUGCGGGAUGACGUCCUUCGGGUUGUAAACCGCUUUCGCCUGUAACGAAGCGUGAUUGACGGUAAUGGGUAAAGAAGCACCGGCUAACUACGUG
rnacentral:rRNA from 1 species